UAAACGAUAUACCACGAAAAAUCUUACUUAUUUUAAAUAGUUUGUAUACCGUCAUUAUUAGAUAAUUUUUAGAGGAAAAAUUAUUUAAAUUAAUAAAAUUAAAUAUAUUAGAUCAAGGUGCAGCUUAUAAAUAAGAAUAAAUGGGUUACAAUAAGUUAGUUGUAUUUUUAAUUUAACAAGUUAAUUARAAAUUAGCUCUAGAGUGUGUACAUAUCGCCCGUCGCUCGCGGGAAAA
rnacentral:rRNA from 1 species